rnacentral:lncRNA from 1 species
UCCGUGAGCUAGGGAAAAAUUCCCUUCUUUAUGAUGGGUCCAGCCCUUUAAAGCCUCUGAAAGGAAACCAAAUAUCUUUAAUUCCCAGGAGACAUCUCAGAGGAUCAGAGCUAAACUGUUACUCUCUGAACUAUCAGAUACUGAGACCUCUGCAUGACCCUUUGUGUUUCAGCAUCCAGAGGCUGUGGAUUCCCCAGAAGAACCUAUUUCCCUGAUAACUAGAGGCUGAACAAGAGUGCGUCGUUAUAGAGGUUUAAAUAACCCACAUAAGUUCAUGCUACUAAGCGCACCUUGGAAGUGGGCCUGCUGCAAUUUGCCUGCAGCAAGAACAAAGAUCUCCAAAGAGCUCUUGAACCUCUGCCAGCUGUGAAGGAGAGCCCACACCUUUCUGCGUGUAAGCACUGAUCUCUUCACCUGUGUGGUCUCUCCUGCUGCAGCUUCUCCCAGAACGGGCGCCGCUCCUCCCUUUAAAAGGCAGCUCUCAAGCAGCUGGGAUCUUUUCUGCAUCCUCACUCUGUGCUUGGAUUCUGCAUGAUGUUUCUUGCUGAGAGUGGACUCGUGGGGCCUUGUCUACAAACAAAUACAUCCAGUGUGGCUGGGAGCACAGCCAAAGUGCUGUGGGAAAGCAAAGGAGUUUGAACAGCGUGCUUGUCAAAGGUAUGGACAGAGCACUCGGGCAUUUUAUCCACAGACCAGUGACUCUGGGACUAAGCCCCUGCAUUUAGAGCUGCAAGCACUCGGUAUUACUGUCGUGAUGUAAGUCUUUGUUAAAAACACCUCUUUUAAUUGCACAGCUCAUACCUCCAAAAUCUUGAGAUCUAAUGGCUUAAGUUAGGCACUGAAUUUCAUCCUUUGGUUAUCUGUGAUGUACUCCAUAGUGCCAGGUCCUUCUGCUUGGGCAGGCCAGGAAUAGCAUCGCCUCUGUCUUUCACUCCCUGCCUCCUGCACAGAUUCCACUGCAUAUUGUAUUUAUUUUCUCAUGCCACACCAAUCUCCCUAAGCUCUAUGUUCUAAUGAUCUUCUUAGCAAGCACAUAUGCCGCAGCAUAUAUUUAGUUUUGAACCAGCUUAUGGAUCUCCUUAGGUGCAAUUCAGGGCAGGAAGCAAUUUGUUCUUGUUAAUGAAGCUGUGUACACGUGCACACUCUGCCGGUGUCAGCUACAGUUUGUUUGCCUGUUGCACCUGCUUGAGCUCUAUAUUUAAGUCAUCUUGAAGUGUAAUUCAAAAAAUAAGCAGAGAAUGGUGAAACACAUGUGCAGAGGCCUUUUUGGGGGGAGGAAAGCAG